UUCAGUUUUCUAAGCCGCCUCUGGGUGGUGCGAGAGCGCUGCGUUGCUGAAGUAAACGCCGAAGAACGUCACGUGAUCCUGUGGACGCGUUGGCCUGGCAACUGCAGCAACCCUUAUCUGGCGCUUCACGUGCGCACCCAGAAGACACAAUGCCUGAGGUCAAGUCAAUAUUGAGAGAAGUUCUGCCUAAGCAAGGACAGCUGUACAUGGAAGACGUCCCAACCAUGGUUCUGUGUAAGCCAAAGUUGCUCCCACUCAAAUCGGUCACCCUCGAGAAAUUAGAGAAGAUGCAGAUGGAGGCUCAAGAGGCCGUCAAACAGCAGGAACUGGCAAUGAAGGAGCAAGUACAGCACAUGCCCAGUUGAGGAGAAGCCAAAAAAAAAAAAUAAA